rnacentral:rRNA from 1 species
AUACGGAGGAUGCGAGCGUUAUCCGGAUUUAUUGGGUUUAAAGGGUGCGUAGGCUGUGCGUUAAGUCAGGGGUGAAAUGCCGUCGCUCAACGACGGAGCUGCCCUUGAUACUGGCGUGCUGGAGUACGGAUGCCGUUGGAGGAAUGAGUGGUGUAGCGGUGAAAUGCUUAGAUAUCACUCAGAACACCGAUUGCGAAGGCAGCUGACGAAUCCGGCACUGACGCUGAGGCACGAAAGCGGGGGGAGAGAACAGGAUUAGAUACCCUGGUAGUCCACGCCGUAAACGAUGAUGACUAGCCGUCGGCGAGAGACAGGCGGUGGCCAAGCGAAAGCGAUAAGUCAUCCACCUGGGGAGUACGUCGGCAACGAUGAAACUCAAAUGAAUUGACGGGG